AGCGUACUCCCUCUGUCCCAUAUUAAAAAUUGUCGAAAUAUUACAUGUAUCUAGACGUUUAUUUAGGCAUAGAUACAUCCAUAUUUGGACAAAUUUGAGACAAUUAAUAUGGGACAGAGGGAGUAUAGA
rfam:Brachypodium distachyon strain Bd21 chromosome 2, whole genome shotgun sequence.